AGCAGCCGCGGUAAUUCCAGCUCCAAUAGCGUAUAUUAAAGUUGUUGCAGUUAAAAAGCUCGUAGUUGAAUUUCGGGGUCAGUAGGUCGGUCGUGCCACUGGUAUGAACUGGUUUUACUGAUUCCCCCCUCUUGAAGAACUGUAAUGCCAUUAAUUUGGUGUUGCAGGGAAUCAGGACUGUUACUUUGAAAAAAUUAGAGUGUUUAAAGCAGGCUUUAGCUUGAAUACAUUAGCAUGGAAUAAUGAAAUAGGACGUUUGAUCCUAUUUUGUUGGUUUCUAGGAUUGACGUAAUGAUUAAUAGGGAUAGUUGGGGGCAUUAGUAUUCAAUUGUCAGAGGUGAAAUUCUUGGAUUUAUUGAAGACUAACUACUGCGAAAGCAUUUGCCAAGGAUGUUUUCAUUAAUCAAGAACGAAAGUUAGGGGAUCGAAGACGAUCAGAUACCGUCUUAGUCUUAACCAUAAACUAUGCCGACUAGGGAUCGGAUGAUGUUAAUUUUUUAAUGACUCAUUCGGCGCCUUACG
rnacentral:rRNA from 1 species